rnacentral:rRNA from 1 species
GAUGAACGCUGGCGGCGUGCUUAACACAUGCAAGUCGAACGGAAAGGCUCCUGCUUGCAGGGGUACUCGAGUGGCGAACGGGUGAGUAACACGUGGGUGAUCUGCCCUGCACUUCGGGAUAAGCCUGGGAAACUGGGUCUAAUACCGGAUAGGACGAUGGUUUGGAUGCCAUUGUGGAAAGUUUUUUCGGUGUGGGAUGAGCUCGCGGCCUAUCAGCUUGUUGGUGGGGUAAUGGCCUACCAAGGCGUCGACGGGUAGCCGGCCUGAGAGGGUGUACGGCCAAAUUGGGACUGAGAUACGGCCCAGACUCCUACGGGAGGCAGCAGUGGGGAAUAUUGCACAAUGGGCGCAAGCCUGAUGCAGCGACGCCGCGUGGGGGAUGACGGCCUUCGGGUUGUAAACUCCUUUCGCUAGGGACGAAGCGCAAGUGACGGUACCUGGAGAAGAAGCACCGGCUAACUACGUG